CCCCUCUCGGGAUCGUACUUGGAGAGUUUCCAGUACUCUCCCACUCUCGGCUGUGGGAGGGAGAGUCAAGCAGAGGCCUAAUCAUUUCAUUCCUAGCUUGGGCAGUGGCUAGAGAGUGGAACGCAAUCUGCUGCAAGU
rnacentral:snoRNA from 1 species